rnacentral:rRNA from 1 species
ACGGGGUGCAGCAGGCGCGAAAACUUUGCAAUGUGCGAAAGCACGACAAGGUUAAUCCGAGUGGUUUCUGCUAAAGAAACCUUUUGUCAGUCCUAGAAACACUAACGAAUAAGGGGUGGGCAAGUUCUGGUGUCAGCCGCCGCGGUAAAACCAGCACCUCAAGUGGUCAGGAUGAUUAUUGGGCCUAAAGCAUCCGUAGCUCGUUUUGUAAGUUUUCGGUUAAAUCCAUGCGCUUAACGUAUGGGCUGCCGGGAAUACUGCAUAACUAGGAAGUGGGAGAGGUAGACGGUACUCGGGAGGAAGGGGUAAAAUCCUUUGAUCUCUUGAUGACCACCUGUGGCGAAGGCGGUCUACCAGAACACGUUCGACGGUGAGGGAUGAAAGCUGGGGGAGCAAACCGGAUUAGAUACCCGGGUAGUCCCAGCUGUAAACUAUGCAAACUCAGUGAUGCAUUGGCUUAUGGCCAAUGCAGUGCUGCAGGGAAGCCGUUAAGUUUGCCGCCUGGGAAGUACGUACGCAAGUAUGAAACUUAAAGGAAUUGGCGGGGGAGCACCACAAGGGGUGAAGCCUGCGGUUCAAUUGGAGUCAACGCCAGAAAUCUUACCCGGAGAGACAGCAGAAUGAAGGUCAAGCUGAAGACUUUACCAGACAAGCUGAGAGGUGGUGCAUGGCCGUCGCCAGCUCGUGCCGUGAGAUGUCCUGUUAAGUCAGGUAACGAGCGAGAU